rnacentral:rRNA from 1 species
GAUGAACGCUGGCGGCGUGCUUAACACAUGCAAGUCGAGCGAGUGAGUUCUUCGGAACAAUCUAGCGGCGGACGGGUGAGUAACACGUGGGCAACCUGCCUCAUAGAGGGGAAUAGCCUCCCGAAAGGGAGAUUAAUACCGCAUAAAAUUAUCGAGUGGCAUCACAUGAUAAUCAAAGGAGUAAUCCGCUAUGAGAUGGGCCCGCGGCGCAUUAGCUAGUUGGUGAGGUAACGGCUCACCAAGGCGACGAUGCGUAGCCGACCUGAGAGGGUGAUCGGCCACAGUGGGACCGAGACACGGCCCAGACUCCUACGGGAGGCAGCAGUGGGGAAUAUUGCACAAUGGGGAAACCCUGAUGCAGCAACGCCGCGUGAGUGAUGAAGGUCUUCGGAUUGUAAAGCUCUGUCUUUGGGGACGAUAAUGACGGUACCCAAGGAGGAAGCCACGGCUAACUACGUGCCAGCCGCCGCCGUAA